ACUGAAGAUCCAGCUGGUGUAGCAGUUUGGGAUGUGCACUAAAAGAUGCUUGGAAAUACCUGCUGGUCUUUCAGCUAUUGUGCUAUAAAACCAGUAAUUAUCUUUCUUGCCAGUGAGAAUUCUUCCAUUACUUCUGGCAAAAUCCUACUAAUCCUUCAAAGCCAAGUUCAAAUGCCACCUCCUCUGUGUGAAGCCUUCUCUAACUCCCAAAGCCAAAUUCAAGGAUAGGUAACUGAGCCGCAGCCAGAGACUUAAAUCCACAAGGAGUACUGAAAUAUUCCUGGGAUUUUACCAAGCCCCUGGAGAAAAAACAUUCUUCACCAGAGUUCCUGCACAAAGAGUACUGCAUGGAGUCAUUAGGGCUUCCCUGGUGGCUCAGACGGUAAAGAAUCUGCUUGCAACGCAAGAGACAUGUGUUCGAUCCCUGGGUCAAGAAGAUAUGCUGGAGAAGAGAAUGGCAACCCACUCCAGUAUCAUUGCCUAGAGAAUUCCAUGGACAGUCCAUGGUGUCACAGAAAGUCAGACAUUUAUUUAUC
ensembl:lncRNA